ACUUCUUUAUCACCGAGUGCUUGCACUCACCGAUAAAGAGUUGAGUGGCGAACGGGUGAGUAACACGUGGGCAACCUGCCCAAAAGAGGGGGAUAACACUUGGAAACAGGUGCUAAUACCGCAUAACCAUAGUUACCGCAUGGUAACUAUGUAAAAGGUGGCUAUGCUACCGCUUUUGGAUGGGCCCGCGGCGCAUUAGCUAGUUGGUGGGGUAAAGGCUUACCAAGGCAAUGAUGCGUAGCCGAACUGAGAGGUUGAUCGGCCACAUUGGGACUGAGACACGGCCCAAACUCCUACGGGAGGCAGCAGUAGGGAAUCUUCCACAAUGGGCGAAAGCCUGAUGGAGCAACGCCGCGUGGGUGAAGAAGGUCUUCGGAUCGUAAAACCCUGUUGUUAGAGAAGAAAGUGCGUGAGAGUAACUGUUCACGUUUCGACGGUAUCUAACCAGAAAGCCACGGCUAACUACGUGCCAGCAGCCGCGGUAAUACGUAGGUGGCAAGCGUUAUCCGGAUUUAUUGGGCGUAAAGGGAACGCAGGCGGUCUUUUAAGUCUGAUGUGAAAGCCUUCGGCUUAACCGGAGUAGUGCAUUGGAAACUGGGAGACUUGAGUGCAGAAGAGGAGAGUGGAACUCCAUGUGUAGCGGUGAAAUGCGUAGAUAUAUGGAAGAACACCAGUGGCGAAAGCGGCUCUCUGGUCUGUA
rnacentral:rRNA from 1 species